UCAGGAACAAUGAUUGGGAGCCGCAGCG
rnacentral:piRNA from 1 species